CCGGGGCGGCGGUUGCAUCAGAUUCUAGGAAGUGUCUGUAGCCGCAGCUGCGGGUCCGGGAUUCCCAGCCAUGGCAGAUUCCUCCGGGCAGCAGGCUCCUGACUACAGGUCCAUUCUGAGCAUUAGUGACGAGGCAGCCAGGGCACAAGCCCUGAACGAGCACCUCAGCACGCGUAGCUAUGUCCAGGGGUACUCACUGUCCCAGGCAGACGUGGACGCGUUCAGGCAGCUCUCGGCCCCGCCGGCUGACCCCCAGCUCUUCCACGUGGUUCGGUGGUUCAGGCACAUAGAAGCGCUCCUGGGUAGCCCCUGUGGCAAAGGCCAGCCCUGCAGGCUCCAAGCAAGCAAAGGCCGGCGCGUGCAGCCCCAGUGGUCCCCUCCUGCUGGGACCCAGCCAUGCAGACUCCACCUUUACAACAGCCUCACCAGGAACAAGGAAGUGUUCAUACCUCAAGAUGGGAAAAAGGUGACGUGGUAUUGCUGUGGGCCAACCGUCUAUGACGCAUCUCACAUGGGGCACGCCAGCUCUCGUGGGGUCCCCAGAUGCUGAGUUCCCGUGACACUCAGACCUGACAGGCCUGAC
rnacentral:sRNA from 1 species